UCUCCGUAGGUGAACCAGCGGAGGGAUCAUUACCAAUGUGAGCGCGAAGGGUGGCUUUGAAGGGAAAUCGACGCGGAACCGCGAGGCGGGGAAUCGUCGGGCCGCGAGAUCUCAGCACUGCUCAUGUAUGCACCGCGUGCUGUGUCGGACUGCGCGCUGAUGUUUACGCUUGUUUGUUUGACGAAUAUUUGCAUCAAAAAUUCAAAACUUUUAACAACGGAUCUCUUGGCUCUU
rnacentral:misc_RNA from 1 species